UCCUGCAGCUGGCGGGUAGAGCAGUGGAGGCCCCUGACCAUUACGAGAAACAGAGCCUGAGGGUCACGGACCUCCUGGCGCAGCUUGGGCCUGCUGGGCCAGUCAGGGUCACCUUUCUUUGUGCUUGCCUCGGGGAAGGAGGCGGCUGCAUCCACCUUAGCUCCCCGUAGCCUCCUGGGCAGCAUUAUCUCCCUCCGAGAACGCAGGGCUGGGCUGUCGUAAUUUUCUAACUUUCUCUGGAGUCUUUCAGGAAGUGGAUCGACAAGAAAUUUACCUGAGGCAUCAAGAGUUAGGAACUCUCAUCUUGAAAUGCUAAAGACUGAGUGCUGCUGAGGAUAUUCUGAAGAACCGGCCUGAGGCUCUGAAAGGAAAUUACAGAAGAGAAGUGUUCCAGACUUCUACGACUGUUUUAAGCAGUAGCAUCCUUGGGUAAGCAUUUGCCUCCUACCUUUUCUGGGUGGAAAAGUUCUUUUUGUUUAAAACCAGUCAUGGUGUUUGGAAUUGACCCUCUGCCCCACCUGUAACCAGAACGUCAUGAACUACAGUGCCCAAACCUUACGAAUUUGGUCUGGAAGAAAGCACUGAGCUGUUAGAAUGUUGAUAGGUAGGAUCUGGCCCAGUUUCCUCCCUGUGCUUCCAUCAGUUGUGAUCCCAGCCAUUUGGAAGUGAAGGUGGUGCUGAACAGGUUGCCACUUGCUAGCUCUCUUGCCUUCCUGGUCUGCUGGAUUCUAAGUAUCCUUGAUAACCCCAUUUGGUUUGAAAAGUUUUUCAAUCUAAAAAAAAAAAUCAGCCUUAAAAUGUAAAUAUAUGAAAGUAUUACUCUUACAAGUGCGUGGGAGAUUAUGUUACGAAGAUUUAAGUAAGUGGCUUGCCCUACUUCCUUGGGAGUCUGAUCUUCAGUCCUGCUGUGAAGUCCCGCACAUGUGAAAGGCCUGGGAAUCUACUUUCCACUGCCGAGAUGGAGAGUUUCUUCUGAGCCUCCAUAGGGUCCUGUCUUCCUGCAGCAA